CAACCUCAACUCAUAUGGGACUACCCCCUGAAUUUAAGCAUAUUAAUUAGGGGAGGAAAAGAAACUAACAAGGAUUUUCUUAGUAGCGGCGAGCGAAAAGAAAUCAGUUCAGCACUAAGUCACUUUGUCUAUAUGGCAAAUGUGAGAUGCAGUGUAUGGAGCGUCAAUAUUCUAGUAUGAGAAAUUAACGAUUUAAGUCCUUCUUAAAUGAGGCCAUUUACCCAUAGAGGGUGCCAGGCCCGUAUAACGUUAAUGAUUACUAGAUGAUGUUUCCAAAGAGUCGUGUUGCUUGAUAGUGCAGCACUAAGUGGGUGGUAAACUCCAUCUAAAACUAAAUAUAACCAUGAGACCGAUAGUAAACAAGUACCGUGAGGGAAAGUUGAAAAGAACUCUGAAUAGAGAGUUAAAUAGUACGUGAAACUGCUUAGAGGUUAAGCCCGAUGAACCUGAAUAUCCGUUAUGGAAAAUUCAUCAUUAAAGUUAUAAUAUUUAAACAAUAUUAUACAAAUAAUGUGCAUUUUUUCCAUAUAAGGACAUUGUAAUCUAUUAACAUAUUAAAUUUAUCAUAAAAUAUGGCUUAUAGUUUAUUCAAAUUAUUAUGCUUGCAUUUUAACAUAGAAUAAAUGUCAUUAAUUUGAUAAAGUGUUGAUAGACUAAUAAGAAUACAGUGCGUUAAUUUUUCGGAAUUAUAUAAUGGCAUAAUUAUCAUUGAUUUUUGUGUUUAUUAUAAGCACUUGUAUGAUUAACAAUGCGAAAGAUUCAGGAUACCUUCGGGA
rfam:Drosophila ananassae strain TSC#14024-0371.13 Ctg01_2345, whole genome shotgun sequence.